rnacentral:rRNA from 1 species
UACAGAGGUGGCAAGCGUUGUUCGGAAUUACUGGGCGUAAAGGGCGCGUAGGCGGUUGCCUAAGUCGGACGUGAAAUCCCCAGGCUCAACCUGGGAACUGCGUCCGAUACUGGAUGGCUUGAAUCCGGGAGAGGGAUGCAGAAUUCCAGGUGUAGCGGUGAAAUGCGUAGAUAUCUGGAGGAAUACCGGUGGCGAAGGCGGCAUCCUGGACCGGCAUUGACGCUGAGGAGCGAAAGCCAGGGGAGCAAACGGG